CAACAGAAUAGAAAGCAGGAAACGCACUCACUAGCUGUUAAACAAGCAGAUUUGUCAUAGAUAGCUCUCGAACAAGACAAUAUAGCUUUCCGCCAGAGCUGCUGUUGUUAUGGAAAAUACAACUCAUAGAGAACCAAGAAGCGACAGUGCAGAUCAUCAAGCUGCUAUUGUUAUGCAAAAUACAACACGGAGAGAACCAGGAAGCGACAGUGCAGAUCAUCAAGGUAUUGCAGUUAGAGCCUUAUUUUCUCUCUUAACUUGUUGUGGCUGUGAUGGUCCGACCUAUCUCUGUAUUUCCUGCUGUUUAAGUCCUGUAGACAGAUAAAUACUGUUUAUAUACCUGUAUUCCAACAUGGAAAAGCCUAGUACUUUGGGUCCAUGAUGUGUCGCAAAUAACUUUAACAGUUUUACAGCAUUGCAUUCCAGCUGAAUUAGAUGAUUCCAAGCUACCUGCAGCUCUCUGCAACGUAUAUAUUGGGGCGUAACUGACUUACAGGUAUUUGUGGUCUCCACUUGGCUAUAAGUGUCUCCCUUUUGUUUUCUUAGGUUCCUUAUUCAAAAAAGCCACUUCAAGAGCAAUAAGCUGGUCUUAAAAAGCAUUUGUUCAGUUUUCUACAAGU